GUGGGGAAUAUUGGACAAUGGGGGGAACCCUGAUCCAGCCAUGCCGCGUGUGUGAAGAAGGCCUUUUGGUUGUAAAGCACUUUAAGCGAGGAGGAGGCUACCGAGAUUAAUACUCUUGGAUAGUGGACGUUACUCGCAGAAUAAGCACCGGCUAACUCUGUGCCAGCAGCCGCGGUAAUACAGAGGGUGCGAGCGUUAAUCGGAUUUACUGGGCGUAAAGCGUGCGUAGGCGGCUUUUUAAGUCGGAUGUGAAAUCCCCGAGCUUAACUUGGGAAUUGCAUUCGAUACUGGGAAGCUAGAGUAUGGGAGAGGAUAGUAGAAUUCCAGGUGUAGCGGUGAAAUGCGUAGAGAUCUGGAGGAAUACCGAUGGCGAAGGCAGCCAUCUGGCCUAAUACUGACGCUGAGGUACGAAAGCAUGGGGAGCAAACAGGAUUAGAUACCCGAGUAGUCC
rnacentral:rRNA from 1 species